CUAACCGAUCUGGAGGAGUAAGGGGUGUGGGCCCCGCAUUCCCUGGUGACACUUAGCUGUGCCAGGUAGUGAAAUGCCAAGCCACUGGUGAGAAGCUGCAGGAAGAUCUCACCAGGCUGUGAAUACAGACCCAGGUUUUCUGAUUUUCUGAAGAAGCUAAAGAGACUGGCUUUUCUGGGAGUUGUCACCAACUGGCUCCAUCUCUGAGCUCCUUCCCUCUCCAAGGGUGCCGGAAGCCGGGAUGAGACCACGGGACCUAACUCACAUGUGCAGUGUCAGAAGGCAUCGAUCCCAUCAUGAGACAGGAACUCACUAGUGGCCAAGGAAGAAGAUUCUGGUCCUCAGGACUCACAUUCUCACUGGGGAGAGAGUCUACACACUAUAUCGAUGAACAAGACCCCUGUGCUUUGAAGGAGACAGAACAGGAUGAUGUCAGGGUGACUAGGCAUGGGUGGAGCAGACG